rnacentral:rRNA from 1 species
CGGCCGCCGCGGUAAUACGAAGGGUGCAAGCGUUACUCGGAAUUACUGGGCGUAAAGCGUGCGUAGGUGGUGGUUUAAGUCCGUUGUGAAAGCCCUGGGCUCAACCUGGGAAUUGCAGUGGAUACUGGGUCACUAGAGUGUGGUAGAGGAUAGUGGAAUUUCCGGUGUAGCAGUGAAAUGCGUAGAGAUCGGAAGGAACAUCUGUGGCGAAGGCGACUAUCUGGGCCAACACUGACACUGAGGCACGAAAGCGUGGGGAGCAAACAGGAUUAGAUACCCGCGUAGUCCCUGUCUCUUAUAC